AUACGGAGGAUGCAAGCGAUAUCCGGAUUUAUUGGGCUUAAAGGGUGCGUAGGCGGUUUGCUAAGCGGGAGGGGAAAUGCCGGCGCUCAACGUCGGAAGUGCCUCCCGAACUGGUGGACUUGAAUGACUCAGCCGAGGGAGGAAUGCGUAGUGUAGCGGUGAAAUGCUUAGAUAUUAGACAGAAUACCAAUGGCGAAGGCAGCCUGCCAGCAGAUGACUGACGCUGAGGUGCGAAGGUGCGGGGAGCAAACAGGAUUAGAUACCCUGGUAGUCCGCACAGUCAACUAUGUGCACUGGAUGUCCGGACAGAAGUCUGGGUGUCGAAGCAAAUGCGAUAAGUGCACCGCCUGGGGAGUAUGCCCGCAAGGGUGAAACUCAAAUGAAUUGACGGGG
rnacentral:rRNA from 1 species